rnacentral:lncRNA from 1 species
CAUUCACAGAGCUGUUCAUCGGGGGAAGCUUUACAUGAUCUUUUGCAUAUCAGCAGAGAGUAGUGGGGACACUGUGACAAAAUCGUGUACCAACUUGUCCGUACCGACACGGGAAGGAUUCAGUUCGGAAGUACCUUUUGAAAUCAGUAGGGUUUCAGCAUUGUAAGACUUGCGCAUCUCUGUCUGCUGGAUCCUUUACUGAGGUCACAGUCUUGUGUUUG